CGUAUAACAUUGCUGUUUUUCUAGUCAAAAAGGUAGAAUGUCAGCAACUUCAUUUGGUUCAACCUAAUAACCAGUUCUCCCAAAGCACUUUACGUGUUCCUCUAUUAUGACCCUGUUUUCGAUCUGUCUUGGGAAUGAUUAGGUAUUUACAUGACCUUGUCCUCCACUUGGCUACAAAACUCCCUGAGAGCAUCUCCAGCUAGUACUGCACCUUACACAGAGUAGGGGAACAAAUGAAUAGGAAAGUAAAUGUGUGUGUGUGUGUGUGUGUGUGUGUGUGUGUGUGUGUGUGUUUCUAAGCAGUGUGCUGGUGUUGGGGAUAAAAGGCUGAAUCAGCAAGGGCCCUGCCCAGGAUGAGCUCAGGUCUCAGUGAGACAGAAGGAAAAUUUCACUCCAUCAAGCAGGGUUUCUCAACAGCGGCAUUAUGGACAUUUGGGAUCAGGGAACCCUUUGUCGUGAGGGUGACUGUUCUGUGUGUUGUAGGAUGCACGGCAGCAUCCUUAGCCUCUACCCACGAUAUGCCAGUGGUAUACCCUCCACCCCGCCCCCAUCCAGCCUUGACAAUAACAUAUCUCUAAACAGGGCCAAAUGUCCCGAGGAACAAAAUCAGCCCUGUGGAGAACCACUGCCACAGAUGAGCUAAGGUGGCAGGAUGCCAGUGUAGCAGCUCAGAGGAAGUACCUGGGGAAUGCUUGGCCCAAACAUAGGACCUUGAUGAAUUAAGUGAGGUCACUCAGAAGUUUCACUGCUUGUGUGGAAGCAACGUCAGGAGUUACAAUACUGUCUUCUUCUGGCAAAGGUGUGUGUUAUAAUCUCGAUUAUAAUCCACAAAGAAGCUGGAAGAUGUUCGGCC